rnacentral:rRNA from 1 species
AUUGAACGCUGGCGGCAUGCCUUACACAUGCAAGUCGAACGGCAGCACGGGUGCUUGCACCUGGUGGCGAGUGGCGAACGGGUGAGUAAUACAUCGGAACGUACCUUAUCGUGGGGGAUAACGCAGCGAAAGCUGUGCUAAUACCGCAUACGCCCUGAGGGGGAAAGCGGGGGAUCGCAAGACCUCGCGCGAUUAGAGCGGCCGAUGCCUGAUUAGCUUGUUGGUGGGGUAAAAGCCCACCAAGGCGACGAUCAGUAGCUGGUCUGAGAGGACGACCAGCCACACUAGGACUGGGACACGGCCAAGACUCAUACGGGAGGCAGCAGUGGGGAAUUUUGAACAAUGGGGUAAACCCGGAUCAAGCAAGGCCGCGGGGGUGAAGAAGGCCUUCGGGUUGUAAAGCUCUUUGGUCAGGGAAGAAACACCGGCUCUAACACAGUCCGGGAAUGACGGUACCUGAAGAAUAAGCACCGGCUAACUACGUGCCAGCCGCCGCGGUAA